UUGCUUAUCUGGCAGGGGAGACACCAUGAUCACGAAGAUGGUUUUCCCAGGGUGACUUGCAAGAUUGUCCACUACCAGCUUGAGUGGACAGCUGU
rnacentral:snRNA from 11 species